UCCCCGGUAGCUCAGUUGGUAGAGCCAUCGGCUAUAUUAACCGAUCGGCCGCAGGUUCGAGUCCUACCCGGGCAG
rnacentral:tRNA from 1 species